CAGGAGCUAAGAGAUUAGGGAAGAACACAACAAACCAGCCGGCCUGGGGAAGCCACUCCACAGGCCUUGCAGAGGCUGGAGGUCCGUCAGCUGCUCUGCUCCAGCCCCGGCCCUCUCCUCACCCCAGGCCCCAUCGCUGCGUCCAGUUUGGAGAUGGGAGCAGGCCUGAGAACUGGAAGUAAAAAUGACAAAAUCUGCUCCUUGAAAGCUGUCACCAUGGAUAGGAAGAAUUCUGUUUUGGUCACAUGUAAUGGACCAUGACACAAAGAAAAAGGUGCCACAUGUCCUGAUGCUGGCGCUGGUUUGGGGCCACCAGGAGAAGAGCGGAAGUCUCGUGCCCAACCCCCCGCCCUCCAAUCACUGAGACAACACCAGCAGCCACUUACCUGGAGAUGCGCUGUUAGAGGAGAGAAAAUGAAAGCCACGCUCUGUGCCGUCGGUUUCUGUUCCAGCUGAUGGAAAUCCCUGACUGAUGAAUGAAAACUAGAGGAAAAGCUCCAAGAGAACAGAACCGGGAGAGACGCUUUCCCCCCUCUCGAGGAGCACGGGGCGAUGCGUCUGGCCUGGGUUCGAGGUGCAAACCUGUUAUCUCGUUCUGUGCCCCUGAGCCAGUCACUCUGCCCCCCAAGGCCCACUGUCAAGGCAGGACCACCGCGCUCUGACUCCCCCAUGCCCACAACUGUCGUGAUGUCCUCCUGCUGUGCCGUGGGCCCCAGGACCCAGGUAUCAGAAGCACAGAUUUCCACCUCCCUCGCAGUUGCAGGCUGGGGGACAAAGGAGCACCCCUCUGGUGGGAUGGGCACAGUUCCAAAAGGAAAUAAGUAGCUGAAGUUAUUUCACGCACACCACAGCUCAAAGUCUGAUGACACGCGGCCAAUCCCUCUGCAGCGAGGCCUUUGGAAAUCGCAGUGUCCCCGGGAAGAGCCUCAGACACCUGCUGUGUCAUUUCCAAGACCGUCUUCUCCAGUGACGUUGUUCGUUUGGCGCUGGUCACGGUUGCCUCCUGCCCCUGACGGGGGUUGCCGAUGUCAAGGACUUGAGAGAAUAAAUCCCUAAUCUUCUUAAGUACCCAAAGGAGGGAGGAGUCCAGGGCUGGUAUGGUGGCCCCAACAGGUCAUCAGUGCACAGGCCCCUCCUGUUCCUGCCCCAUGCCCCUCGGUGGGUGGCUCCUGGCACUGAGCUCGCAGGACCACGAUGGGAUCUUCAGCCACUGUGUCCUCAUUUCAGCUGCAACUGGACAGGGGAAAGGGGCCUUCCAAGAGGCCUCACCGAGGUUGCCCUCGUAUUUGGUAACACCCAACCUGCACAAGAGGCUUGGAAUGCAGUUGAUUUUAUUUAUUUAUACAUAUAUAUAAAAUCUGCCCCAUUGCGCAAGACUUCUGUUACAAAAGGAGAAAGAACAGACCCUGGGCAGGCAACAAGCAGUAUCAGUUUAAAGCCUUGCUUUUUUCAGCAAAGUCUGUCAUUUAUAAGUGCUCCAGAGAUUUCAGGAUCAAGGCAGAUUUAUGGAAAAAAUCAGAAAGCCAAAGGUGCCAUAAAGAGUCCCACGGGAACAGUCUACUCAACAAGAUGCUUUGUCAGCAGUUGGUCAGCCAGUGUCUCCUCCAGUCCCCUGAGGGCUCAGCGUGGCAGCCCCGCCACUCGGCUGGCACUGUCAGUGGCGCACAGUUGUCAGUGCAGGUGAUCCAUGGAAAGCGAGCACAAGAGCAGACAGUCCUUGUCCGUCAUCUCCAUAUUUCCCUCUGUCCUCCUACAGUGGGACGUUCUUCUGACAGUCACUGAAGUUGCUGACAUGGUUGGCAUUGCAGUUUCUAGAGGGAACCCUCCACCCUUCUAGUGGGGAGGAGCUCCUGGA
ensembl:lncRNA